rnacentral:tRNA from 1 species
GGAGUUGGCUCAGUUGGUAGAGCACCACCUUGCCAAGGUGGGGGUCGCGGGUUCGAAUCCCGUACUCC